rnacentral:lncRNA from 1 species
CAUCCAAACCGUCCUCAAAAACCUUCUCCAGGCACAGGUCGGUGCGCCGGCUCCCAGGACAGAGGCUACGUUGUCUUGUGGAAAAGCCCUGAGUGCUCGGCAUGAAAGGAACCGCUCGGGGUCUCUGUAUAACCGAGGCCAUUAUCAGGGGAUGGGGAAUCGACACUGGCUGUUGGAACACUGAGGGUAUUUCUUCCUAUUAGAGGUCGUGGAUAUAACGAACCUUAUCUAAUCCAUGCUUUCCGAAAGGGUUCACCGCAUUCUCCCUAUCUGGUGCAGAGCCGGUGGACCCAUAUGCAAUCUGCCAUAUUGAACGGGCACUAAGUUGGAUCUAUGAGUACCCUUUAUUUUCUGUGUACAUCAGUCCAGAUCCAGUGAGAAACCAAACAACUGCUUUCGAGGUGAGGGUACACAAACGCACACAUCCGACACCCACUAUGCGGCCCAAUGAAUGCUUCCUUGUUUUAAUUAGGCUGAUGACGACGUCACCGUGUUAUUUUGACUCUCCCAAAGUCCCAGAGUACUCCCAUCAGCCAUCACAAGCACAUAGGGACCUGUCAUACAUCAGACAGGAAGAUAAUGGCCCUUUUUCCCUCUGAUUCAUCCAUCCACCGCCCCUGAACCUUGAACUCCGAUAUCCACAUAUACAGUGCCAUCAGAAAGUAUUCAUACCCCUUGACUUAUUCCACAUUUUGUUGUGUUACGUCAUGAAUUCAAAAUUGAUUAUAUUUAUGUUUUGUCUCACCCAUCUACACACAAUACCCCAUAAUGACAAAGUUAAAACAUGUUUACAUAUUUUUUGGCAAAUUUAUUGAAAAUUAAAUGCAGAAAUAUAUCAUUUACAUAAGUAUUCACACCUCUGAGUCAAUACAUGUUAGAAUCACCUUUGGUAGCGAUUACAGCUGUGAGUCUUUUUGGGUAAGUCUCUAAGAGCUUUGCACACCUGGAUUGUACAAUAUUUGUCCAUUAUUCUUUGAAAAAUCCUUAAAGCGCUGUCAAAUUGGUUGUUGAUCAUUGCUAGACAACCAUUUUCAAGUUUUAAGUUUAAGUCAAAACUGUAACUCAGCCACUCAGGAACAUUCAUUGUCUUCUUGGUAAGCAACUCCAGUGUAGAUUUGGCCUUGUGUUUUAGGUUAUUGUCCUGCUGAAAGGUGCAUUCAUCUCCCAGUGUCUGGUGGAAAGCAGACUGAUCCAGGUUUUCCUCUGGGAUUUUGCCUGUACUUAGCUCCAUUCUGUUUCUUUUUUAAUCAUGAAAAACUCCCCAGUCCUGAAUGAUUACAAGCAUACUCAUAACAUGAUACAGCCAUACAUGAUGCAGCCAUACUAUGCCUGAAAAUAUGGGGAGUGGUACUCAGUAAUGUAUUGUGUUGGAUUUGCCCCAAACAGACACUUUUUAUUCCUUCUUUUCACUCUGUCAUUUAGGUUAGUAUUGUGGAGUAACUACAAUGUUGUUGAUCCAUUCUCAGUUUUUUCCUAUCACAGCCAUUAAGCUCUGUAACUGUUUUAAAGUUACCAUUGGCAUCGUGGUGAAAUCCCUGAACGAUUUCAUUCCUCUCCGGCAACUGAGUUAGGAACCAUGCUCAGAGGGAUAUUCAAUGUCUGCUUUUUUUACCCAUCUACCAAUAGGUGCCAUUCUUUGCGAAGCAUUAGAAAACCUCCCUGGUCUUUGUGGUUGAAUCUGUGUUUGAAAUUCACUGCUUGACUGACAGACCUUACAAUUACAGUGCCUUCAGAAAGUAUUCACACCCCAUUCAGUAUUCACAACCCAUUCAGCCUGAAUUUAAAAUGUAUCAAAUUUGUGUCACUGGCCCACACACAAUACCCCAUAACGUCAAUGUCGAAUUAUGUUUCAAUCAUUUUUUUACUAAUUAAUUAAAAAUUAAAAGCCAAAAUGUCUUGAGUCAAUAAGUAUUCAACCCCUUUGUUAUGGCAAGCCUAAAUACGUUUAUUGGACUAAAAACGUCACAUAAUAAGUUGCAUGGACUCACUCUGUGUGCAAUAACAGUGUUUAACAUGAUUUUUUAAUGACCACCUCAUCUCUGUACCCCACACAUACAAUUAUCUGUAAGGUCCCUCAGUCGAGCAGUGAAUUUCAAACACAGAUUCAAUUACAUUGUAGGUCCUCCAUAAUACUAACCUAAUUGACAGAGUGAAAAGAAGGAAGCCUGUACAGAACAAAAAUAUUCCAAAACAUGCAAAUCAAUUCACUUAUUGUCCUGAAUACAAAGUGUUAUGUCUGGGGCAAAUCCAAUAUAACACUUUACUAAGUACCACUCUCCAUAUUGUCAAGCAUAGGGGUGGCUUCAUCAUGUCAUGGGUAUGCUUGUAAUCAUUAAAGACUGGGAAGUUUUACAGGAUAAAAAAGAAACGGAACGGAGCUAAGCACAGGCAAAAUCCAAGAGGAAAACCUGGUUCAGUCUGCUUUCAAGCAAACACCGGGAGACAAAUUCACCUUUCAUCAGGACAAUAACCUAAAACAUAAAGCCAAAUAUACACUGGAGUUGCUAACCAAGAUGACAUUGAAUGUUCCUGAGUGGUCUAGUUACUUAAGUCGGCUUGAAAAUCUAUGGCAAGACUUGAAAAUGGCUGUCUUGAAAUGAUCAACAACCAACUUGACAGAGCUUGAAGAAUUAAAAAGUCAUAAUGUGCAAAUAUUGUACAAUCCAGGUGUGCAAAGCUCUUAGAGACGUACCCAGAAAGACUCAGCUGUAAUCACUGCCAAAGGUGAUUCUAACAUGUAUUGACUCAGGGGUGUGAAUACCUACAUGAGAUAUUUCUGUGUUCCAUUUUCAAUAAAUUUGCAAACAUUUCUAAAAACAUGUUUUCACUUUGUCAUUGUGGGGUAUUGUGCACAGAUGGGUGAGAGAAAAAAAUAUUUAACCCAUUUUCAAUUCAGGCUGUAAGACAACAAAAUGAUGAAUAAGUCAAGGGGUAUGAAUACUUUCUCAAGGCACUAUAUCUGUAUGUGUGGGGUACAGAGAUGAGGAAGUCUUCAAAAAUCAUGUUAAACGCUAUUAUUGCACACAGAGAGAGUCCAUGUGACUUAUUAUGUGACUUGUUAAGCAAAUGUUUAUUCCUGAACUUAUUUAGGCUUGCCAAAUACAUUUCUGAUUUUAAAUUUUACAAAACAUCAUUACACUUUGACAUUAUGGGAUAUUGUUUGUAGGUCAGUGACAAAAACAAUUCUCAAUUUAAUUCAUUUUAAAUUCAGGCUCUAACACAACAAAAUGUGGAAAAAGUCAAGUGGUGUGAAUACCUUCUGAAGGCACUGUAUAACCUAUAACCCCGACCGUAAUCCCCCAGCUACCAGGCAUUUGACGCCAGUGCAGUAGUGAAGUCCAAACUACACAGGUUAAGCCUGUAUAAUGCCUCACAUUAGAUAUUGUUCUCUUUUUACUCAGAUCAAAAGAGGGCUGUGAAAGUUCUCUAUGGCUCGGCCAAUCACUGGUCUCAUGAGUAUCAGGUUUCCCUUUCAUCAAAUCACAGAGCUGGAAAAUCCACUCGGGCCUCUCGGGCUGGCCAAUGACACAGAGGCUGCUGCCAAGCUGGCCAAUGGGACAGAGGCAAUUUUUUUGUGAGUAUGUUUCCCAGAGCCAGCUGCCUCAGCACCAGUAUACACUUACUUUCCCUUAUGAUACAUGAGAUAAUCAUCUGGUGUAGCACUGCACUUCAGCUUUGCUUGGCCACGGUGCUGUUCAAACAUGUGUGAAAAUCCAGCAGAGUAGGUGUCCAUUUUAACCUGUCUAGUUAAUUAAUGAUCUCAAAGUUUGAAGAGGAGAACUUGAGGAAUUGUUCCAAAAUGCUGGGCUGCAACAAGAUCUCAUGGUUUAACCAAUGUUGACUUCAGAUUCUGACGUUAAUCCACAUUUAUCCAAACGUCAAAUAUUGAAGUGGCUCCAAACAUCACAUUUCGAAGUUAAGUGUUAAGGUUUCGGAUAGGGUUAAAACAAAAGUGUGUGUCUUCCACUGGGAUUGAACACGCUACCUUCGGAUCCGGAGUCAUGGGAUUACCUCUACUACUUGAUGGUAAUAGCGCUCAGAGUUG